CCUACGGGUGGCAGCAGUGGGGGAUAUUGCACAAUGGGGGAAACCCUGAUGCAGCGACGCCGCGUGGGUGAAGAAGCGCCUCGGCGCGUAAAGCCCUGUCUGCAGGGAAGAAAAUGACGGUACCUGAAGAAGAAGCUCUGGCUAACUACGUGCCAGCAGCCGCGGUAAUACGUAGGGGGCAAGCAUUAUCCGGAUUUACUGGGUGUAAAGGGGGCGCAGACGGCGAUGCAAGCCAGGAGUGAAAGCCCGGGGCCCAACCCCGAGACUGCCCUUGGAACUGCGUGGCUAGAGUGCAGGAGGGGCAGGCGGAAUUCCUGGUGUAGCGGUGAAAUGCGUAGAUAUCAGGAGGAACACCGAUGGCGAAGGCAGCCUGCUGGACUGCAACUGACAUUGAGGCCCGAAAGCGUGGGGAGCAAACAGGAUUAGAUACCCCUGUAGUC
rnacentral:rRNA from 1 species